CGCAAGUCUGAUGGAGCGACGCCGCGUGAGGGGUGAAGGCCUUCGGGUUGUAAACCUCUUUCAGCAGGGAAGAAGCGAGAGUGACGGUACCUGCAGAAGAAGCACCGGCUAACUACGUGCCAGCAGCCGCGGUAAUACGUAGGGUGCAAGCGUUGUCCGGAAUUAUUGGGCGUAAAGAGCUUGUAGGCGGUUUGUCGCGUCUGCUGUGAAAUUUCGGGGCUCAACCCCGGACUUGCAGUGGGUACGGGCAGACUAGAGUGUGGUAGGGGAGACUGGAAUUCCUGGUGUAGCGGUGAAAUGCGCAGAUAUCAGGAGGAACACCGAUGGCGAAGGCAGGUCUCUGGGCCACUACUGACGCUGACAAGCGAAAGCAUGGGGAGCGAACAGGAUUAGAUACCCUGGUAGUCCAUGCCGUAAACGUUGGGAACUAGGUGUGGGUCUCAUUCCACGAGAUCCGUGCCGCAGCUAACGCAUUAAGUUCCCCGCCUGGGGAGUACGGCCGCAAGGCUAAAACUCAAAGGAAUUGACGGGGGCCCGCACAAGCGGCGGAGCAUGCGGAUUAACUCGAUGCAACGCGAAGAACCUUACCAAGGCUUGACAUGUGCCGGAAAAGUGCAGAGAUGUGCUCCCCGCAAGGUCGGUACACAGGUGGUGCAUGGUUGUCGUCAGCUCGUGUUGUGAGAUGUUGGGUUAAGUCCCGCAACGAGCGCAACCCUCGUUCUAUGUUGCCAGCACGUGAUGGUGGGGACUCAUAGGAGACUGCCGGGGUCAACUCGGAGGAAGGUGGGAAUGACGUCAAAUCAUCAUGCCCCUUAUGUCUUGGGCUUCACGCAUGCUACAAUGGCCAGUACAAAGGGCUGCGAUACCGCAAGGUGGAGCGAAUCCCAAAAAACUGGUCUCAGUUCGGAUUGGGGUCUGCAACUCGACCCCAUGAAGUCGGAGUCGCUAGUAAUCGCAGAUCAGCAACGCUGCGGUGAAUACGUUCCCGGGCCUUGUACACACCGCCCGUCAAGUCACGAAAGUCGGUAACACCCGAAGCCGGUGGCCUAACCCUUUCAGGGGAGGAGCCGUCGAAGGUGGGACUGGCGAUUGGGACUAAGUCGUAACAAGGUAGCCGUA
rnacentral:rRNA from 1 species